CGGAGGGUGCAAGCGUUAUCCGGAUUCACUGGGUUUAAAGGGUGCGUAGGUGGGUCUGUAAGUCAGUGGUGAAAUCUCCGAGCUUAACUUGGAAACUGCCAUUGAUACUAUAGAUCUUGAAUAUUGUGGAGGUCAGCGGAAUAUGUCAUGUAGCGGUGAAAUGCUUAGAGAUGACAUAGAACACCAAUUGCGAAGGCAGCUGGCUACACAUAUAUUGACACUGAGGCACGAAAGCGUGGGGAUCAAACAGGAUUAGAUACCCUGGUAGUCCACGCCCUAAACUAUGGAUACUCGACAUACGCGAUACACUGUGUGUGUCUGAGCGAAAGCAUUAAGUAUCCCACCUGGGAAGUACGAUCGCAAGAUUG
rnacentral:rRNA from 1 species